rnacentral:rRNA from 1 species
AUGCCCCGUCGCUGCCCUGCGCAGCCGCUGAGGCACCCGACGACGGCCGCGACGUCGCUGCCCUGCGCAGCCGCCGAGGCACCCGACGACGAGGUCGCCGAGUCACUCGACGACGGCCACGACGACGUGUUGUUCCCCAACACAGGUGCAGCCGCACAGACGCCCUGCCACGGCCGCGACGAGGAGCUCCUCGCCGACAUAGACCCUAAAGAAGUAAAAAGGCAGAGGGAUAGAGAGCGGUAUGCACAAAAUAAGGAUGAGAUUAAUAAGAGACGACGUGAGGCCUACAAACAGAAGAAAAUUGCGUCUGCUGAGAUCAGUGGGGCACAAACACAGCUGGGUGUAUCACAAGGUACAGAUCCUUCUUAUGGCAAGAAACCUCUACCGAUCCAACGUAAUGAUAUUACUCCAGGGAUGGAACCGUCCCCAGAUGCAGAUGUUUAUUUUCAAUCCUACCGAGUGGAGCAAAAGUAUGUUGAUGGAGCUCCCAAUAAUGAUGCUCACAACCGAGUUUACAUGAACCUGCCCAAAAAGCAUCAUGUGCUUAGAAAAGUUACUGAUUGCCACCAUUGUGGAGCUUUGCGCUUUCAAUACGAGGGGCCUGCAUUCUGCUGCAGAAAGGGAAAAGUGGAUGUAUUUACUCCAGAUGUUUGUGAGGAGUUGAAACGGUUGUUUACAAGUCAAGAUGAUGGGGAUGCUAGAUAUUUCAGAGAAAAUAUACGGUAUUUCAACUCCCACUUCUCAUUCACAAGUCUGGGAGUCACCCUUGAUCGCCGAGUCAGCACCGCAGCAGGAACCGGCGUAUAUACAUUUCGUGCGUGUGGAGGGUUGUACCACGCUCUUGAUGAUCUCGAGUCUGGUGAUAAUGGCCCUCGACAUUUGCAGCUAUAUAUUUAUGAUACAGAUGAAAACUUGUUUCACAGGGUUAAGAGGUCUCCAAAUCUUAGGUUAGAUCUCAUACGGAAGAUUCUGGCAAUACUAGAGCAUAACCCUUAUGCUCAAGUAUUUAAAAGCCUUGGUGUUGUUCCAAAUCUAGAUGAAUACAGGAUCUCAUUAAAUACCGAUAUCAAGCUUGAUCAACGAAGGUACAAUGCGCCAACAACUUCUCAGGUAGCAGCAAUAUGGGUUGAAGGGAGCGACCCACAAAAAACCUUUGAUAGAAGUGUUAUCGUGUACGGGAAAGGAGAGCGUCCCCUGUAUAUUAGAGCAUACUAUGGGUGCUACUACCCUUUGUCAUAUCCACUAUUCUUCCCACGUGGGGAGAUCGGUUGGAAUCGUUUGAUGCCAUAUAUUGGGGCCGCCGAUGACACAAACCAAGAUUUAGUGGAUGAUACUGCACGACAACAGUACCCAGCCUAUGUUCUUCCUUCAGACGAUAACAUGAUUAGUGAACAACUUGGUCAUGACGCAAGAGAUGAAGACCAGGCCACUGAUUUAGCUGCAGAUGACUACGAGGAUAACCCGGAUGAGGAUUUUGGUGACAAUGAGAUGAAUGCCACAAAAUCAAGGAAAUAUGUUAGCGCGAGGGAGUACUAUGCCUUCAAGCUGCAGGUCCGGAAAAAGCUUUUUAACAUCAUCUUGUUUGGGGGGCGCCUUUUCCAACAGUGGGCGGUUGGCAUGUACAUCAAGAUUGAGACAAUGAGGCUUGACUGGUACUCAAAGCCAGCAAAUCAAAAGGUCAUACGCGCUGACCUCUACCAGGGCCUUGUUGACACCGUCAUCGCUGGCGAGUCACGCGGUGAUCGUAUUGGCAAGAGAAUCGUGCUUCCACGUACCUUCCCUGGUGGUGACCGUGACAUGCAACGCAGGUUCCUGGAUGCAAUGGCAAUAGUUCAACGAUGGGGUAAACCGGAUUAUUUUGUCACGAUGACAUGCAAUCCCUACUGGGAGGAGAUAACUAUUGAAUUGUUGCUUGGACAGCUGCCACAAGACCGUCCAGACCUUGUGGCAAGAGUAUACAGAGCUAAACAACGAUCCAUGAUGGACUUACUGAUUAAGGGUAAGCAUUUUGGAGAAGUUGCGGCUUAUGUACAUGUCACUGAGUUUCAGAAACGAGGCCUCCCUCAUGAGCAUAUACUUCUGAUCAUGAAAGCUAAAAGUAAGUUAAGGACCCCGGAUGACUAUGAUCGGGUGAUAUCGGCAGAAAUACCUGACAAAAAUAAAUAUCCUGUUCUCCAUGAUCUGGUGGUCAAACACAUGUUGCAUGGUCCAUGUGGCGCGCUCAAGAAAAGUUGCCCUUGCAUGAUAGAUGGACAAUGUCGGUUUCAUUACCCGCGAGAUUUCUGUGAUGCUACAUUACAAGGGAAAGACUCAUAUCCCAUCUAUAGAAGGAGGGAUGAUGGGGUGAGAGUUAGGAUCAGAGGAGCAGAUUUGGACAAUAGAUGGGUGGUCCCUUACAACCCAUUUCUGCUGAUGACAUACAACUGUCACAUUAAUGUCGAAGCAUGCUCGAGCAUCAAGGCAGUGAAGUACUUAUUCAAAUACAUCUACAAAGGGCAUGAUAAGGCAUCAUUUGCGUUCGAGCAGGAUAUUAUCAAUGACGGGGGAAUCAUUGAUGAAAUUCGACAAUAUAGGGAUGCACGCUAUAUAUCUCCUCCCGAAGCUAUCUACAGGAUUUUCGGCUUUAAAAUGUUUGGUGUCAGCCCAGCUGUGUUGCAGCUCCAGCUUCAUUUGCCAAACAUGCAUACAGUCGCAUUUCAGGCUUAUGAAAAUCUGGAAGAUGUUGUUGCUCGACCAUCUUCUUCCAAAUCCAUGCUUACCGAGUACUUUGGGAUGAACCAAAAGUAUCCAGAGGCACGAAAAUUGUUGUACAGAGAGUUCCCAGAACAUUAUAGGUGGAUAGCCGGUAAUAAGAAGUGGCAACCGAGAAAAAAUAAGAGAUCACAGAUUGGAAGAUUGGUGCAUGCACACCCUGCUGAAGGAGAGAGGUACUACUUGCGGGUGCUCCUAAACCAUGUCCGAGGUGCCACUUCAUUUGAUGAUUUAAAAACAGUAAAUGGCAAGGCAUGCGGGUCCUUCAGAGAGGCGUGUGAGCAAUUAGGCCUCAUUGAGCACGACAGGACACUUGAUGAUUGCAUGACGGAGGCUGGGACAUUUCAAAUGCCUACUGCUCUUAGACGGUUGUUUGCGACUAUAUUGGUAUUCUGUGAGGCAACACAAAUCCGUCAAUUAUGGGACAAACAUCUAGCAUCCAUGUCUGAAGAUUAUCGCCGUACUCAAUCGAAUGAGGCAGCACUUGAGCAAAUGGUCCUUAGGGAUAUCAGGGAUCUGCUGCAAUCCAUGGGAAAGGAUAUUAAACUCUAUGGACUUCCGGAUCUGGUUGACGCAGAUGGUUCUUCUAACUUUGACAAUACAGAGGUAACAGAGGAGAGACAGGUCAAAGUGGACCAAGAACAUCUAGAUCUAUUCAGCUGUUUGAACAAUGAGCAACUAGCUGGUUUCAAUGACAUAAUGGAUCAUGUGACAAACCAAAAAAGCCAGAUAUUCUUUGUUGACGGUCCAGGAGGCACUGGGAAGACGUACCUGUACAAGGCGUUGCUUGCAAAGGUCCGUUCGAUGGGUCUAAUAGCGAUCGCAACUGCUACAUCAGGUAUCGCAGCGUCGAUAAUGCCUGGAGGCCGGACUGCACACUCCAGGUUCAAAAUUCCAAUCAAGCUCACUGACAACAGCAUGUGUAGCUUCACAAAGCAAAGUGGUACGACAGAGUUGCUUAAACAGGCGUCCUUGAUAAUUUGGGAUGAAGUUGCUAUGACAAAGCGUCAAGCAGUUGAGACACUUGAUAGAUCGCUGCAGGAUAUAAUGGAAUGUUCUUUACCAUUUGGUGGAAAGGUUGUCGUCUUUGAUGGCGAUUUCAGGCAGGUCCUCCCCGUUGUGACCCGAGGGACAAGAGCACAGAUCACUGAUGCUACACUGUUGAGAUCCUAUCUGUGGCAGAAGAUCCGCAAGAUACGCCUCACACGCAAUAUGCGGGCACAGACAGACCCUUGGUUCUCGGAAUACCUCCUACGGAUCGGCAAUGGGACGGAAGAAACAAUUGGCGACGACUAUGUGCAUCUCCCUGAAGACAUUGUGAUUGCUUAUACCGACGAUGAUGAACCUAUUAACAAGCUUAUCGAAGAUGUCUUCCCAUCCCUGCACACCAAUGCUAGGUCGAGAGAGUACAUGAGCACACGUGCAAUUCUCUCGACCAAAAAUGAGCAUGUAGAUGACCUGAAUGACAAGAUGAUCUCCAGGUUUCCGGGCGAAGAAAAGGUGUACCAUAGCUUUGACUAUAUCGAGGAUGACUUCCAGAAUAAUUACACAAUUGACUUCCUGAACUCGAUCACACCAAAUGGGUUGCCCCCGCAUGUCUUGAGAGUAAAAAUCAACUGCCCGGUCAUUUUGCUACGGAACCUCGACCCUCAUAAUGGGCUAUGUAAUGGAACACGGCUUAUGAUCAGGGCCUUCCAGGAUAAUGCAAUCGAUGCAGAGAUUGUUGGUGGCCAGCAUGCUGGAAAGAGGGUGUUCAUACCUAGGAUC